rnacentral:rRNA from 1 species
CCUGGCUUAGACGAACGCUGGCGGCGUGCUUAACACAUGCAAGUCGAACGCGAAAGGGACUUCGGGUCCUGAGUAAAGUGGCGCACGGGUGAGUAACGCGUAGAUAACCUGUCUUCAUGUCUGGAAUAAUACGCCGAAAGGGGUACUAAUACCGGAUAUUCUUGCUUUUCAUAAGUUAUGCAAGCAAAGGUGGCCUCUGCAUAUGCUACUGCAUGAAGAGGGGUCUGCGUACCAUUAGCUAGUAGGUGGGGUAAUGGCCUACCUAGGCGACGAUGGUUAGCGGGUCUGAGAGGAUGAUCCGCCACACUGGCACUGGAACACGGGCCAGACUCCUACGGGAGGCAGCAGUGAGGAAUAUUGCGCAAUGGGGGAAACCCUGACGCAGCGACGCCGCGUGAGUGAAGGAAGGCCUUCGGGUCGUAAAGCUCUGUCAAGAGGAAAGAAGUGUACAAUGGCUAAUACCUGUUGUAUUUGACGGUACCUCUAAAGGAAGCACCGACUAACUCCGUGCCAGCAGCCGC